rnacentral:lncRNA from 1 species
CCUCUUUGAAAAUGUUCUAGGUCAAAAUUUUCCCAUGAUAUUUCAAAUCAACAGAUCACUUGUGUAAGGUUAAAAUCAUACUUGACCAUCAUGGUGGAAAAGUACACAUACACACAACAAAAACAGCUCCAAAAACAACAUUUUGGCUUUUCUUGUAAAAGCACAGCACCUUGAAUGUCUUUCAUAAGGUUCCAAAACUAUCUCACAUUACUAAAAGAGAGGGAAAGAGCCUAUUAUCAGGUUUUCAUGUUAAAUGUUAUUUAAUGAGUACAUUUGUGAAAGAAACAAAUAGUUCAGUUCAAAUGGAAAAGCAAAUGUGCCAUUAGGUAAUAAUUUCAGUUCUUCAAAAAUGUUCACUUGAUUUUUGUAGUGGAUUUAGCAGUAAUCAUUAAUAAUUUUAAGUGAGUUGGUGAAAGUAAAAGGUGGAAUUUUAAAACACAUGGCUCAGACUGAUGGCAGUGAACCACUGAUAACUCAGCAUCACUAAAAGAUAGCCAGCUAGUUCAUGGGCUUUUUUCCUGUGAUCCAGUUAUGAAGAACAUACUACUGCCAGCCAAGUCUUCUUGCUCCCCCUAAUCAAACCUAUAUAUGGUCAAGCCUUUAGAUAUUACCUUUUAAAAUAAUUAUUAAGACAUAUUAAUUGGACAAUGUAAUGGGAUUCAUUCAUGCAUAUAUCAUACUUUGAAGGACAAGAUUAUUUUUUAUAUAGUAAGUACAAGGAACAGAGUGAUGUGUUAAAUGACAGCACAGGAUACAAUCAGCAAAAUCCAGAAUGCAGAACUAUGUAAGACAGAAUACCUAGUUUUUCUUCACAUGAAUAGCAAGAAAAAGAAAAACUGAAAAGGGAAAUAAUAUUUUAGAGAUUUAAAACAAUCAAAUUUAAUGUGUGGGCCUUGUUUGAUCCUGAUUUUUUAAAUAAGGGAAAAAUUAUGAUAAAAUUGAUGGAAUUCAGGUGUUAGCUAGAUAUUUGAUUCUAUUAAGAAAUGGUUAAUUUUUAAAUGAGACAGUAAUGUGGUUUGUUAGAUUUCUAAUCUUUCAGAGAUAACUAUAAGGAACUUAGAUAAAAUUAUACAAUGUCAUAGAUGUGCUUUUUUUUUUUUUUUUUAAGACAAGGUCUUGCUGUGUAGUUCAGGCUGGCCCCGAACUCACUGUGUAGCCCAACUUGUGGGCUCAAACUUGUGGCGAUCCUCCUGCCUCAGCCUCCUGAGUGCUGGGAUUACAGGAUGCACCACCAUGCCCAACUUUAGACUUACUUUAAACUAGUAGAAUAAUUUAAGUUUGAUAAAUGGAGGAUAAGGGUACAAGUAAAAGAAACAAUAUUGACCAUAUGCUGAUUACUACGUGUAAUAACUAGUGAUUCUGGCUUAUGUGUGCAGUCAUCAUUCUUUCUAAUUUUUUGUGUUUGAGUGUUUUCAUCAGAAAACACUACAGGCUUAUCAGUGGAGAACAUUCAGAAUGUGUAGAUGACAUGUGAAGGACAAAAUGAAAUUUUUAUUUUCCAAGACUGCAGAGUUAACCACUACUAGGCUUUUGUUACACCAUCUUGUAGUCUGUUCUUCAAGGCAAAUACCUUCAACAUGCACAUUCAGAAGCAUUUAGAAUACUAUUACUGUCUUUAUUCUGUAGCACAGUAUUUUCUCAUACCACCAAGUUUAAAACAAGUUUUAGAAAACCUGUAAUUCUUGUAAAGGAUCAAAAAUUAUCAAUUAUCUACAUGGAUUACGAUGGUUAAGAGUAUUUGACUUAAUAUUUUUAAAUUACUCUCAAAACAGUACUGUGUGAUUCAAGGAGUGACCUAUGAGUCACAUAGAUGUGGUUACCACAUUAAAAUAAUUAUUUAAUGGUGCCAUUUAUCUGAAAUUAUUUCAGUGGAGCCAGAAUGGAAGUAUAGAUUUUGAGUAAAGAUCCAAAAUAUUCUUAUGUGGCAAAUUCAACUCUUAGAUUUUUCUAGCAAAUUCAAAUGAAAGGAGUGUUUGAAGUUGCCAGGACUUUGAGAAAGAAUGCAUAUGAAGGACCCCCUGUAGCUAAAUUGUGUAACUCUGUAUACUAGGAGAGAAAAAAGAAGAAUGUGUAACUUUUUCCAUGUCUCUUAUUACUCAGAGUAUUCCCCUGAGAAAAUGUGGAGGCCAGGAGAUUGAUUGUAAGGCUACAUGGGCCUAGCUCCUGACAAGCCUUUUCAGACUCUGAAAGAGUAACAGAGUAACUCUGUGGAAUAAAAGGCAGCUCUGGUCAGCCUGAGCCUUGGGGAAAAUCUUAGGUUGGUGAUUUUCCAGAGAGCAGAUUGGGAAAUUAGUGAAGAAUGAAUGCACACCAUGUUUGUGUUUUCCAUUCUAUCUCUCUGACCUUAUCCCUCAGGUCUGAUCUGCUAGGUAAACUAAAUGCAUAUACUGAUAUUCUUGGAGUCUAGUUCAGAAACCUUCAGAUAUAGUGUCCCUCCUGUACCACACCCACCUCUGUGCCAAGCACCAACCCCAUGUAAAAUUUGCUGAACUCCAAAUUAAAGGAAUGGUGUAAAUACCAUGAGUGAAUAUUGGAAAAGGAAUAGUUAUAGCAGAGUGCGUGUUACUUUCAUCUGAGCAUCCCACUACUUGUAGUUCCUCCAAAGCACUGGUAUUUUGCUGUGCGAAACCCUAUUUCAAAAAACCAAAAAUAAAAUCAGAAAGAGAAGAGAUUUUUUAAUGAGGGUUAUCUAAAAGUAUUAAGUUAUCUGACAAAUAGGAAGGAUCUAUAUAGUAUCGCCUAAAAUAGAAUAUGGCUUAAAGACUAGAAUCCUCCAUUGAAAAGGUCCUGAUUAUGUCGUUUUCAGGAGCCAAGUCAGGCAGCACAUUGGUGAGUUUCUGGUAACCCUGUGUCCUACAGGUGAAAUGCUACCACUAUCAUUUUUGCUUUAAGUAACUUGCAAAUGAUC